rnacentral:lncRNA from 1 species
UCCGCCUGAACAGUAGUGGCCCGUUGCUCUACGCGUCGUCACUGGAAAACCUAAGAAACCAGGGGUGCUAGAGCGGCUUCCUCCCCUCUUCAUUUUUCUGCGGCGGCGAAGGUCCUGUCACCUGCAAAAGGAGGAAACACACAAACCAGUUGAUUUUAUUUCAUUUUACAGAUAGGCUUUUGGUUCCCUUCUUCUUCUCCGUUGUACACAAUUCUGCUGUGAAGGAGGCCCUUUACUUUGGUGGCCAUGAUCUGCUGUGAACGAGGAUUACUCCAUGGUGGUAGAUCUGGCUGCGAGAAGGUGUGACGGCCGAGAGGGGGUGGUGCUGCUGGGGCUGGAGCAGCGGGUGUCGCUGCUGUGUUCGAGCUGUUACUGGGGGCUCUGAUCCGGUCUUGGCGAGCUUACCGGUUGGUAGUGAAGGAGAUCGUCUGCUGCUUUUUGGCUUGGUGGAGGCCUGUUUUGUGGAGCGGCUUCUCUGUUGUUAUUGGUAGCCGGUCGGCGAUUCUGGUGUUGCUUCUCUAUCACCGGUGGCGGAAGGGUUGAGGAAAAACCGCGAGAGAAGAUGGACGAUGGAGGGGAAAGGGAGGCUAGUUUGGUUUCCAAGGGAAGGGGGGUGGCCGAUUCUGAUAUGUUGUGGAUGAGGGGGGAGUGAGCGGCUGGUUUGGGAGAAGAAGCUGGAAAUGAGAAUGACUGUGGAGAAGGAAGGAAAAUGAGUGAUGGUCUUAGGGGAUGUGGAAACGGUGGGUCUUGUUUGUGAAGGGGAGGUUGGUCUGGUUUGUCUUAGCAAAAAUGGAUGGGAAACUGUGGGGGGAGGAACGACUCAGGGAGGAAACUUUGCAGCAAAGGGGGUGUUGGCCGGGUCUGUGGGAUGGAAAAUCAACAGCCUGGGGGGGAGAAAAAAAAUCAGAUCAGAGGGGGGGGAGGCGGCGGCUCCGAGCUAGGGAUAAGAAAAAGUUAAGCUUUUUAGGGUUUUUGUUUUUUG